rnacentral:rRNA from 1 species
CCUACGGGUGGCAGCAGUGAGGAAUAUUGGUCAAUGGACGAAAGCCUGAACCAGCCAAGUAGCGUGAAGGAUGACUGCCCUAUGGGUUGUAAACUUCUUUUAUAUGGGAAUAAAACGUACCCCGUGUGGGAUUUUGUAUGGACCCUGUGAAUAAGGAUCGGCUAACUCCGUGCCCGCAGCCGCGGUAAUACGGAGGAUCCGAGCGUUUUCCGGAUUUAUGUGGAUUAAAGGGCGCGUAGGUGGAUUGGUAAGUCAGGUGUGAAAGUGUGCGGCUCAACCGUAAAAUUGCAGUUGAAACUGGCAGUCUUGAGUACAGUAGAGGUGGGCGGAAUUCGUGGUGUAGCGGUGAAAUGCUUAGAUAUCACGAAGAACUCCGAUUGCGAAGGCAGCUCACUGGACUGCAACUGACACUGAGGCUCGAAAGUGUGGGUAUCAAACAGGAUUAGAUACCCCAGUAGUC